rnacentral:rRNA from 2 species
UGCAAGUCGAGCGGAUCUUCAUUAGCUUGCUUUUGAAGAUCAGCGGCGGACGGGUGAGUAACACGUGGGCAACCUGCCUGUAAGACUGGGAUAACUUCGGGAAACCGGAGCUAAUACCGGAUAAUCCUUUCCCUCACAUGAGGGAAAGCUGAAAGACGGUUUCGGCUGUCACUUACAGAUGGGCCCGCGGCGCAUUAGCUAGUUGGUGAGGUAACGGCUCACCAAGGCAACGAUGCGUAGCCGACCUGAGAGGGUGAUCGGCCACACUGGGACUGAGACACGGCCCAGACUCCUACGGGAGGCAGCAGUAGGGAAUCUUCCGCAAUGGACGAAAGUCUGACGGAGCAACGCCGCGUGAACGAUGAAGGCUUUCGGGUCGUAAAGUUCUGUUGUCAGGGAAGAACAAGUACCGGAGUAACUGCCGGUACCUUGACGGUACCUGACCAGAAAGCCACGGCUAACUACGUGCCAGCAGCCGCGGUAAUACGUAGGUGGCAAGCGUUGUCCGGAAUUAUUGGGCGUAAAGCGCGCGCAGGCGGUUCCUUAAGUCUGAUGUGAAAGCCCCCGGCUCAACCGGGGAGGGUCAUUGGAAACUGGGGAACUUGAGUGCAGAAGAGGAGAGCGGAAUUCCACGUGUAGCGGUGAAAUGCGUAGAGAUGUGGAGGAACACCAGUGGCGAAGGCGGCUCUCUGGUCUGUAACUGACGCUGAGGCGCGAAAGCGUGGGGAGCGAACAGGAUUAGAUACCCUGGUAGUCCACGCCGUAAACGAUGAGUGCUAAGUGUUAGAGGGUUUCCGCCCUUUAGUGCUGCAGCAAACGCAUUAAGCACUCCGCCUGGGGAGUACGGCCGCAAGGCUGAAACUCAAAGGAAUUGACGGGGGCCCGCACAAGCGGUGGAGCAUGUGGUUUAAUUCGAAGCAACGCGAAGAACCUUACCAGGUCUUGACAUCCUCUGACACCCUAGAGAUAGGGCGUUCCCCUUCGGGGGACAGAGUGACAGUGG